rnacentral:lncRNA from 1 species
UUAUUUGUUUGGCUGGAGCGAGCCAUUAAUCCCUAAUUCUGGAUCAGCAAGCGAGGGGGAAAGACCGGACCGCUACGAUCCACCCCCUCCCUGCCCCCACCGCCCAUCCUAAAGCACCUUAUAUCGCGGAAACCACUCAGCCUCCUCUUUCCUCCGAGAACACGCGGAGCAGCCCCUGAAAACGCUUUGGUCCUCUGCAGGGGGAGCGCUCUGGGGUCUCCGCACAAAACCUGCUUUUGAGCCCUUUGGCUUUCUUCAGGCGAGCGCAGUCCGUCCAUCCCCCUGGCCCACCCAGCCGCAAGGGAUGCUGUGAAAAGAGCCGCUGCUUGCCGCCUCCGGCCUGCCGUCCAGAGGGCUCCGCCCGUAGAGGUCAACUCCCCUCAUUCUUCUUCUUUCCAUCUUGCCCUCCCUCCGCCGAGCCCAGACUCGGAUCUCCUCCUGACUCCCGCCGCAGUCAGAGAGAGCGCAUCUGCUGCGCUGCCCUUAAAUCUACGCCCAGAGCGGGCUCAGACCCGAUCUCUGCUCUCCAGAGCCGGAGGAAGCCCGAGCAAGCAGCCUUUUCUCUUCGCAGUAAAAUCAUAGCCAGACCAGAUGGGCCCCAGCUCUCCCGGGACUCGGCAGGUGCUGUUGAGUUAAUUUUUCCGCAAUACAAAGAAGGAGGACCCAGCCGGCCUGGGAUUCUGAUCUUUUCCCAAAAUUUCCCAACCAAAAUCGGGCUAUCAAAGGCGUAUACGUGUGUUUGUCGGACAUACAAACAUGCAUGAUUAUAUUCGCUUUUUCUGCUAGAUCUCUGGCAACAGGGGAUGAGUGACAAAGGUUUCUGCAGCAGAACACUCAUGGUGUGGUCCUUAAAGACUUGCCUUUCCUUACAAAUGUCUUAGGACGGCAUUCAGGGCGAACCAACUCAGUUAAUUGCCUUCAGUAAAAUAACACGAUUACGAAAUUAGAUCUGUACCAGAGGGGUAAUUAA